CGAGAAGCUUGCUUCUCUGAUGUUAGCGGCGGACGGGUGAGUAACACGUGGAUAACCUACCUAUAAUACUGGGAUAACUUCGGGAAACCGGAGCUAAUACCGGAUAAUAUUUUGAACCGCAUGGUUCAAAAGUGAAAGACGGUCUUGCUGUCACUUAUAGAUGGAUCCGCGCUGCAUUAGCUAGUUGGUAAGGUAACGGCUUACCAAGGCAACGAUGCAUAGCCGACCUGAGAGGGUGAUCGGCCACACUGGAACUGAGACACGGUCCAGACUCCUACGGGAGGCAGCAGUAGGGAAUCUUCCGCAAUGGGCGAAAGCCUGACGGAGCAACGCCGCGUGAGUGAUGAAGGUCUUCGGAUCGUAAAACUCUGUUAUUAGGGAAGAACAUAUGUGUAAGUAACUGUGCACAUCUUGACGGUACCUAAUCAGAAAGCCACGGCUAACUACGUGCCAGCAGCCGCGGUAAUACGUAGGUGGCAAGCGUUAUCCGGAAUUAUUGGGCGUAAAGCGCGCGUAGGCGGUUUUUUAAGUCUGAUGUGAAAGCCCACGGUUCAACCGUGGAGGGGCCUUGGAUACCGGGAAAACUUGAGUGCAGAAGAGGAAAGUGGAAUUUCCAUGUGUAGCGGUGAAAUGCGCAGAGAUAUGGAGGAACACCAGUGGCGAAGGCGACUUUCUGGUCUUUAACUGACGCUGAUGUGCGAAAAGCGUGGGGAUCAAACAGGAUUAGAUACCCUGGUAGUCCACGCCGUAAACGAUGAGUGCUAAGUGUUAGGGGGUUUCCGCCCCUUAGUGAUGCAGCUAACGCAUUAAGCACUCCGCCUGGGGAGUACGACCGCAAGGUUGAAACUCAAAGGAAUUGACGGGGACCCGCACAAGCGGUGGAGCAUGUGGUUUAAUUCGAAGCAACGCGAAGAACCUUACCAAAUCUUGACAUCCUUUGACAACUCUAGAGAUAGAGCCUUCCCCUUCGGGGGACAAAGUGACAGGUGGUGCAUGGUUGUCGUCAGCUCGUGUCGUGAGAUGUUGGGUUAAGUCCCGCAACGAGCGCAACCCUUAAGCUUAGUUGCCAUCAUUAAGUUGGGCACUCUAAGUUGACUGCCGGUGACAAACCGGAGGAAGGUGGGGAUGACGUCAAAUCAUCAUGCCCCUUAUGAUUUGGGCUACACACGUGCUACAAUGGACAAUACAAAGGGCAGCGAAACCGCGAGGUCAAGCAAAUCCCAUAAAGUUGUUCUCAGUUCGGAUUGUAGUCUGCAACUCGACUACAUGAAGCUGGAAUCGCUAGUAAUCGUAGAUCAGCAUGCUACGGUGAAUACGUUCCCGGGUCUUGUACA
rnacentral:rRNA from 1 species